rnacentral:rRNA from 1 species
GACGAACGCUGGCGGCGUGCUUAACACAUGCAAGUCGAACGAUGACGACCGAGCUUGCUCGGUCUGAUUAGUGGCGAACGGGUGAGUAACACGUGAGCAACCUGCCCUUCACUCUGGGAUAACCUCGGGAAAUCGGGGCUAAUACCGGAUAUGAGCUCCUGUCGCAUGGCGGGUGUUGGAAAGUUUUUCGGUGAAGGAUGGGCUCGCGGCCUAUCAGUUUGUUGGUGAGGUAGUGGCUCACCAAGGCGAUGACGGGUAGCCGGCCUGAGAGGGCGACUGGCCACACUGGGACUGAGACACGGCCCAGACUCCUACGGGAGGCAGCAGUGGGGAAUAUUGCACAAUGGGCGAAAGCCUGAUGCAGCGACGCCGCGUGAGGGAUGACGGCCUUCGGGUUGUAAACCUCUUUCAGCAGGGAAGAAGCGAAAGUGACGGUACCUGCAGAAGAAGCGCCGGCUAACUACGUG